AAUAGAUACCCGGGUAGUCCACGCCGUAAACGAUGGGCACUAGGUGUGGGAGGUGUCGACUCCUUCCGUGCCGAAGCUAACGCAUUAAGUGCCCCGCCUGGGGAGUACGGCCGCAAGGCUAAAACUCAAAGGAAUUGACGGGGGGCCCGCACAAGCAGCGGAGCAUGUGGUUUAAUUCGACGCAACGCGAAGAACCUUACCUGGGCUUGACAUGUUCCUGACAGGUGUGGAAACACACCCUCCCUUCGGGGCAGGAUCACAGGUGGUGCAUGGCUGUCGUCAGCUCGUGUCGUGAGAUGUUGGGUUAAGUCCCACAACGAGCGCAACCCCUGUCGCAUGUUGCCAGCAUUCAGUUGGGGGACUCAUGCGAGACUGCCGGUGACAAACCGGAGGAAGGUGGGGAUGACGUCAAGUCAUCAUGCCCCUUAUGUCCAGGGGCUACACACGUGCUACAUUGGCCGGUACAAAGGGCUGCGAUACCGCGAGGUGGAGCGAAUCCCAUAAAGCCGGUCUCGGUUCGGAUUGGAGGCUGAAAC
rnacentral:rRNA from 1 species